CUUGUGGUGCUUAAAGUUUCGAUCUUUGUAAUUUGAUCUCUUGUUUUGAUCGUGUUUCUUUUUUUUUCAGGUUCUUAGUUACGGUAGGAACUGGAAAGUGAUUCUAGAAGCACCACUCUACGAUAAAGACUGUGUUUUGGGCAACGUUUUAGCUGCUCAUUACCUUUCCUCAUCGGAUCAUUCCAAAGCUAAUACCUAUGUUGAAGCUGCAAGAUCCAAUCUUGAACAAUCUACACCGUAUGAGAAAGCUGUUUUUGAGGCUGUUUGUUACUUGAUCUCCGAGGACAGGGAUGAUGACUUGGCUCUUGAAAUGCACACUGAGCUACUUAAAAGAUUCCCCAAGGAUCUGGCUUCUCUGAAGAGAGCUCAGGUUUUGUGCUUCUACAUGGGACAGCCUGCUCCCUUUUUGAGUCUUGUUCAGCAAGUUCUACCUGUGAAUCAAGAAGAAAGUUACAUACACGCUAUGCUUGCGUUCCCAUUGUUAGAACUUGGUCGAAUGGAAGAAGCUGCAGCAGCUUCCAGAAAAGGCUAUGAGAUUAACAAAGAAGACGCAUGGGCACAUCACUGUAGUUGUCAUGUUCUUCAACAUGAAUGUCACUUUAAGGAAGCAGUGGAGUUCAUGGAAGAACUCGCAGAAUCUUGGCGCUCUUGCUCUUCCUUUUUGUAUACACAUAACUGGUGGCAUGUUGCUCUCUGUUAUUUGGAAGGAGGGUCACCAAUGAGUACAGUAGAGGAGAUUUAUGAUAACCACAUCUGGAAAGAGUUGGAGAAAGAUGAUGCUGUUCCUCCCGAAGUUUAUCUCAAUGCUAUCGGUUUGUUAUUGCGUUUGGAUGUAAGAGAUGCUCUUAAAGGUUCGUUUGAAGACCGUCUCAAACUACUUGCAGCUCGAUUGACUGAUCAGGAGAACUGGUAUAUGUCAUGGCACCUUGACAUAUUGAUAGUUUGGGCAUUAGCCAAGGCUGGGGAGACUUCAAGGGCUCAUGAAUUACUCGAGGGUCUGAAGCUCCGACUAUCAAAGAUGAACAAGAAGAAACAACAAGUGAUGCAGAAAGGGAUUCAGCUCGGAGAAGCUGUGUGUGAAUACGGAAGGGGUAACUACAAACAGGCUCUAGAACUGCUUGGUUCAGAUUUUAACGCCUUUGGUUAUAAGACCAUUGGGGCAUCACAUGAACAGAUUGAUGUUUUCAACGGAAUGUGGUGCCUGCUGCUGCUAAAGACAGGCUAAUCCAAGACUGGUAUGGCUUGUUUGUAGUCUUAAAAUCAUUUUCAUUAAACAAUUAGUAUAUAACAAUGAACGCUUUUGGCUCUGAUGUAUGCAAGCCAAAGAAGUGAUAAGAGAAAGGAUCAAUGUCAGAGAUGGUGUUCCUUUCAUGUGGCGUUUACUGGAGAAGAGUUGUGCCAUGGAAGGCAAUGUAGAGGCUGAAAGUGCAGGAGACAGAGUUAAGAAGCUGGAAUCUUCUUAUUUCUAGAUCUGUUUCUUCUUCUUCUUCUUGAUAAUGGCUUAAUAAGGUGUUUACACGUCUCUAAGAUAAAAGAGUAAAAUCCUUUUGGAAUAAGUGUGGUGUACACAGGGGCGAAGCCAGGCAGCCCACUAUGGGGUCCUGUGCACCCAUAAUAUUUAUAAAUAGUUUAGUUUCGUUACAAAUAACAAAGAAAAUCUGUUAGAUCAGAUGGAAAAGUGAAGUUGUGCACCCAGAGGAACCCAGGUUCGACUGCCUCCUUUCUACC